AUUGGAGGGCAAGUCUGGUGCCAGCAGCCGCGGUAAUUCCAGCUCCAAUAGCGUAUAUUAAAGUUGUUGCAGUUAAAAAGCCCGUAGUCGAAUUUUUUAAAGGGUUUAAUUUUUAAUUUAAUAUAUUUUAAAUUAUUUUUUAAAUGAUACCUUUAAUAAUUUUUUUAACUUUUGGGUUAAUAUUUAAAUUAUUUAUUUAAUUUAAUAUUAAUCAUUUCUAUAAUUUUUAAUUAUAGAGGGUUAAAAAUGAUUACUUUGAAAAAAUUAGAGUGUUCAAAGCAAGCUUUAUAGCAUGAAUACAUUAGCAUGGAAUAAUGAAAUAGGACUUUGGUUUUAUUUUAGUUGGUUAUAAACUAAAGUAAUGAUGAAUAGGGGUGGUUGGGGGCAUUAGUAUUUAAUUGUCAGAGGUGAAAUUCUUGGAUUUAUGAAAGACUCACUUCUGCGAAAGCAUUGCCAAGGACAUUCCCAUUGAUCAAGGACGAAAGUUGGGGGAUCGAAGAUGAUUAGAUA
rnacentral:rRNA from 1 species